UGUUUGAUAGCAUAGAAGAUAAGAUUUGAGAAGUCACGUUUAUCCUGAUGAAUGUCAAGCAUAGAACUAAGACAUUUAACCACCACAGUAGUCAAGGGAGUGGGAUGCAUGCUUCUAUGAGCAGUUCAGAUCAAGAAUUAUUCUUUCCCUCUAAAACGUCAGUGAACAUAAGGUGGUAAUGCUUCUAGCUCCUUAGAGAGGAAAAAAUCAUGAUUUCAUAGCAUGCUGUCUUUGUGAUCCACUUAAAGGGAGCAGAAAAGCCCUUGAUAGAAGUAGAAUGCUUUUUGAGCUUCUGCUGCCACUGAAGUCAAUGUGUUACUAAUCAGGAUGCCACCUCCUCAUACCAUCCCCAUGGACAUGUCCAGCUCAUUCCUACUGCAGAGCUCUCCAGAGACCUGGGCAUCCAUAGCGUUGACAGCAGCAGCAUUUUUCAUGGUGAUGUCUUUGUACCUACGGGGAGAGCAGAAAAAGAUGAGACUGCGUGGCUGAAUGUGGAUGCUUCUGUGAAGACAGCUGAUUCUCUUCCAGAUCACUUGAAUUUGUGACUGUUGUCCAAGACGGCCUUGAUUAUGGCAAAGAGGGGGCAAGGGUAGGGUCACAGCUCCCCCUCCCUCAGCCUGAAUCCCCAGAAAGUGCUAUGGGGUUAACCCUUGGUUACACCUUCUGGCAUUUUUUUCAGUUGAGCAGAGUGUUGCAAGUAAUCAGGAUUGUGUUUUGAUCUGCUUCUCUCUUUGCUUGGUCAUAGUUAUCUGUUGUUUAAGAGGAUUUUUAAUAUAUUUUAAUAUUUGCUUAUUAACUACAAAUAAUAUUUAAUACUGUGCUGAGAAGACAGAAAUACUGAGUUAUUCAAAGUGUGAUUUUGCAUCCUGAAGGAGCAGAGCCUGGCAGAGGGUCACAGAACUGGGCAGUGAGAUUUGCCUCUCAGCAGUGGAGCACCAAAGCACCCCAGGGGCUUAGAGAGAGCAGGGUGCAUGAUACCACUUAAUGCCUUCCAGACACAGGGCAUGGCUUUGUAGAAAAGGGCUGGCAGGGACUGAUGGUCUUAUCUGUGUAAAACGCCAUCACAGACAUUGGCAUGUUCUUGGUUUUUCAUUGCAUGCGCUGUCUAAUGGGCAGAUGGCUGUGGAUUUUUGUUCUCUCCCAAGCAAUCCCUGUGGGUUUUCUGCAGAAGUGGUCACCAGUGAGACAGCAUGUUGUAAUUCCUUCUGCUGGCUUGAACAGGGAGACAUCUAACAUUGCGAUGACAGGUUAACUGAGAGAUCAUCUGAGAACUUGUUUAAAAAUUGAAUACUGCUGAAGUCUAGCUUGUUACAUGAGUUGAGUGAACAUGGCCCUUUUGUGCUGACAUGGACUUUACCACUGUUCUAACAUAAAGAAAAACAGGAUCUUUAUAUGAAAAUACUUCCUUUACCAGAUGUCCAAAUUGUACAAGUAAUUUCAGUACAUUAUAUGUAAAUAUAACAGGUAUGGUGGGCAGAACAAGGGAGAGAACAAUUUCGAGAUGUUUAGCCAUUCAGCUUGAGAGAACAUUGUAUGAAGAGCAACAAUUUUUUCCAUUAGAAACAAUCCUCAGAAAAGUUCUAUACUUUCCAUAUAUACCUUGCACAGAGUUGCAUCUCAUGGAAUACGUAGAGAGAUUGUGGGCUGGACCUAUACCCAUCUGAUUCCUCAGGUGAACUGGGGUAAGAGAAAGGACAAGCAGCAACACCGUGUGAUCUACUCCAUUUCUGCGUGGAAGUCUCAGCCACAGGAACAUUUCCUGCUUUUCUGAGGUCUGUCUUGGCCUGCAGUUUAUUUCUGUGUCCGAGACUGUGCAGUAAUUUUUGAGUUAUAGUCCUCUAUGUGACCAAAGAUUUAGUUUAAGCACUUUCCUGUCUGCCUCCUACUGUGUACCUGCCAUGAUUUAUCACGGAGGGCUGUUCUGCUGCUGACUCUUGGCUGAGUAUGGGCAGUUUCAGGCAUCUUUGGCAAAGGGCUGAAGUUUUUUGCAAAUAGCUCUGGCUGCAGUCCAGCUCGCUGGCCUCUGGAGCUCUCUCUGCAACAAGUUCAUUUGAUAGAAAACUUGAACAGAGUGGAUCAGAGGGGGGGUGAAAUUCUAAGUAGAACUGUAGGGGUGACGCACUGUGUUUUGUACUUUGCCAGAAAACCCAGUGUAGCCAUGAAACUCUGUAAAUGACUUUGUGUUUAGCUAGUUGGGAUAUCCUUGCAUCACUUACUGCACCUUGGAAACACCUGCAGCUUUGUAUGAAUUAA